rnacentral:rRNA from 1 species
CCUACGGGAGGCAGCAGUGGGGAAUUUUGGACAAUGGGCGCAAGCCUGAUCCAGCAAUGCCGCGUGCAGGAUGAAGGCCUUCGGGUUGUAAACUGCUUUUGUACGGAACGAAACGGCUCCUAUUAAUACUGGGGGCUAAUGACGGUACCGUAAGAAUAAGCACCGGCUAACUACGUGCCAGCAGCCGCGGUAAUACGUAGGGUGCGAGCGUUAAUCGGAAUUACUGGGCGUAAAGCGUGCGCAGGCGGUUAUAUAAGACAGAUGUGAAAUCCCCGGGCUCAACCUGGGACCUGCAUUUGUGACUGUAUAGCUAGAGUACGGUAGAGGGGGAUGGAAUUCCGCGUGUAGCAGUGAAAUGCGUAGAUAUGCGGAGGAACACCGAUGGCGAAGGCAAUCCCCUGGACCUGUACUGACGCUCAUGCACGAAAGCGUGGGGAGCAAACAGGAUUAGAUACCCUGGUAGUCCACGCCCUAAACGAUGUCAACUGGUUGUUGGGUCUUCACUGACUCAGUAACGAAGCUAACGCGUGAAGUUGACCGCCUGGGGAGUACGGCCGCAAGGUUGAAACUCAAAUGAAUUGACGGCUGAGAGAGCGAGACGACACGAGGGAGGAGG